CGACAAUGUAAACGUUUUAACAUGAUUUUUAAUAUUUUCUUUGGUUUAUUUUGUUUCGUCCCAGUGCGAUUAAUAGAAAGUUACACUUUACAUCUGAAAUUCAACGAAUUAAAAGACUCACCUGGAACCCAAAACAAAGAUUCAGUAUUAGUAACAAAAUUGUUAAAUAAAAUAAUUAAUAUUGCUGAAAAGCACCAAAGCAAAGACGGUCUUUCAGAUGCGAUACAAAAAUGCAUCCUCGAAGAGAAGACAAAGGCUGAAAAGCUGCAGUGUAUUCACAAUUUAGAAGACAAGAGGAAUGCGAGAUCAUGGCAUCAACAAGAUAAUAUACAGGACACAGUUGAAACAUCCAAAUUGGCUGAUUUAUCAAGAUCUUUAGUAGCUAAAUUUAAUUUAGAUAAAAAUGGCUUUGCUGAUGAUUAUAUAGAUUUUUUUAGUCUUCGGGAAGGUAAAGAAGACGGUAGACGAGCAAAUGAUUUCGUUUUAAAAAAGAUAUUGCGUACUAACUCAGAUUCGGAUUCCGAAAGUUCUGAUUCCGAUUCAAGAAUACAGAAAUAUAAACAUUCAUUUCAAGCGAAAAGGUUUAAGCCUAAAAAAAUUGUACGUAAGGACCCAUAUCGAUAUAUGCAGGGACCAUCAAGGAUUUACGAAAUGAACUUCGAUAGACGGAGACGCCUGCCACAUUUCCUACCAAAAAGACACUAUUGGGAUGAAAAUGAUUUUAAAGAAUUGAGAAAUUACUGGAUUCACGGUCCACAGGGGAAGUAUCCUGGGGCCUAUAGGAUUCCUUAUUGAAAUUAAAAAUUCUAAUAAUAUUAUACUGUUA